UGCAGGGGAAUUUGUCAUCACUUUUCCUCGUGCUUACCACAGUGGUUUUAACCAAGGCUACAAUUUUGCUGAAGCUGUCAACUUUUGUACUGCUGACUGGCUACCUGCUGGACGCCAGUGCAUUGAACACUACCGCCGGCUCCGGCGCUAUUGUGUCUUCUCCCACGAGGAGCUCAUCUGCAAGAUGGCUGCCUUCCCAGAGACGUUGGAUCUCAAUCUAGCAGUAGCUGUGCACAAGGAGAUGUUCAUUAUGGUUCAGGAGGAGCGACGUCUACGAAAGGCCCUUUUGGAGAAGGGCGUCACGGAGGCUGAGCGAGAGGCUUUUGAGCUGCUCCCAGAUGAUGAACGCCAGUGCAUCAAGUGCAAGACCACGUGCUUCUUGUCAGCCCUGGCCUGCUACGACUGCCCAGAUGGCCUUGUAUGCCUUUCCCACAUCAAUGACCUCUGCAAGUGCUCUAGUAGCCGACAGUACCUACGGUAUCGGUACACCUUGGAUGAGCUCCCCACCAUGCUGCAUAAACUGAAGAUUCGGGCUGAGUCUUUUGACACCUGGGCCAACAAAGUGCGAGUGGCCUUGGAGGUGGAGGAUGGCCGUAAGCGCAGUGAGUGACGGGAAAUGGAAGGAACCCUUGUGAUGGACACUCCACAGCUGACCUUGACUGAACUCCGGGUCCUUCUUGAGCAGAUGGGCAGCCUGCCCUGUGCCAUGCAUCAGAUUGGGGAUGUCAAGGUUCUUUCCUGGAAGUGGCGGAGAUAUGUGUUCCCAUACCAUCUCUGUCUUUACAGCAUGCAAGGAAAUAUCCUUCCAUACUGAAAUAAUUAAAAACUCUAAACUGGGCCUACAUAAGACACUGGCUCUUGGAAAUGGGAUGGAGAGGACUGAUUGGUUGGUUGGUUGAUUUCCCUCCAGAUACCAGAGUCUUAGAAAGCUUACUAGAUGGAUAAGAUUGUAUUAAAGUGGGUUUGGAAAAAGAAAUUCAGGUAAUUAAAGGAGAAAAAUGUCAUUCUAGGUAAACAGAGGGCCUUUGUUAUUAUCAGAUAGAUCAUGUUUUAGGAUGUGGUUGAGAAUAAGUGUUAAGCAAUAGGAAAUGCCUAUAAGAGAAGAUGAGAAGUGGAGCAAAUCUAGGUGGUUGAGUAUUUAUGUGGCUAAAGAAUCUGCAUUUUAUGCUAUGUCCUUGCAGGAUGUCCUGGAACAGGUGGAGGCCUAUCAAGCUGAGGCUCGUGAGGCUCUGGCCACACUGCCCUCUAGUCCAGGGCUAUUGCGGUCCCUGUUGGAGAGGGGGCAGCAGCUGGGUGUAGAGGUGCCUGAAGCCCAUCAGCUUCAGCAGCAGGUGGAGCAGGCGCAAUGGCUAGAUGAAGUGAAGCAGGCCCUGGCCCCUUCUGCUCACAGGGGCUCUCUGGUCAUCAUGCAGGGGCUUUUGGUUAUGGGUGCCAAGAUAGCCUCCAGCCCUUCUGUGGACAAGGCCCGGGCUGAGCUGCAAGAACUACUGACCAUUGCAGAGCGCUGGGAAGAAAAGGCUCAUUUCUGCCUGGAGGCCAGGCAGAAGCAUCCACCAGCCACACUGGAAGCCAUAAUUCGUGAGACAGAAAACAUCCCUGUUCACCUGCCUAACAUCCAGGCUCUCAAAGAAGCUCUGACUAAGGCACAAGCUUGGAUUGCUGAUGUGGAUGAGAUCCAAAAUGGUGACCACUACCCCUGUCUGGAUGACUUGGAGGGCCUGGUGGCUGUGGGCCGGGACCUGCCUGUGGGGCUGGAGGAGCUGAGACAGCUAGAACUGCAGGUAUUGACAGCACAUUCCUGGAGAGAGAAGGCCUCCAAGACCUUUCUCAAGAAGAAUUCUUGCUACACACUGCUUGAGGUGCUUUGCCCGUGUGCAGACGCUGGCUCAGACAGCACCAAGCGUAGCCGGUGGAUGGAGAAGGCGCUGGGGUUGUACCAGUGUGACACAGAGCUGCUGGGGCUGUCUGCACAGGACCUCAGAGACCCAGGCUCUCUGAUUGUGGCCUUCAAGGAAGGGGAACAGAAGGAGAAGGAGGGUAUCCUGCAGCUGCGUCGCACCAACUCAGCCAAGCCCAGUCCACUGGCACCAUCCCUCAUGGCCUCUUCUCCGACUUCUAUCUGUGUGUGUGGGCAGGUGCCAGCUGGGGUGGGAGCUCUGCAGUGUGACCUGUGUCAGGACUGGUUCCAUGGGCAGUGUGUGUCAGUGCCCCAUCUCCUCACCUCUCCAAAGCCCAGUCUCACUUCAUCUCCACUGCUAGCCUGGUGGGAAUGGGACACAAAAUUCCUGUGUCCACUGUGUAUGCGCUCACGACGGCCACGCCUAGAGACAAUCCUAGCCUUGCUGGUUGCCCUGCAGAGGCUGCCCGUGCGGCUGCCUGAGGGUGAGGCCCUUCAGUGUCUCACAGAGAGGGCCAUUGGCUGGCAAGACCGUGCCAGAAAGGCUCUGGCCUCUGAAGAUGUGACUGCUCUGUUGCGACACCUGGCUGAGCUUCGCCAACAGCUACAGGCCAAACCCAGACCGGUCUACACUUCAGCCACUGCCUGUGACCCUAUCAGAGAAGGCAGUGGCAACAAUAUUUCUAAGGUCCAAGGGCUGCUGGAGAAUGGAGACAGUGUGAUCAGUCCUGAGAACAUGGCUCCAGGAAAGGGCUCUGGUAAGACAGGUGUGGUUUGGGUAGGCUGUUGGCUAAACAUAACUGAGUGACCCAUGUAUUUGUCACCUCUGUUGUGGCCAUGGAGGAUAAGACCAAGAGUGGCCUCUAACCCAGUCUGUCCCUGCACCCUUCACUGCACCACCUUCCGCCCAGACCUGGAGCUACUGUCCUCACUGUUGCCGCAGUUGACUGGCCCUGUGUUGGAGCUGCCUGAGGCAAUCCGGGCUCCCCUGGAGGAGCUCAUGAUGGAAGGGGACCUGCUUGAGGUGACCCUGGAUGAGAACCACAGCAUCUGGCAGCUGCUGCAGGCUGGACAGCCUCCAGACCUGGACAGAAUUCGCACACUUCUGGAGCUGGAAAAAUUUGAACAUCAAGGGAGUCGGACAAGGAGCCGGGCUCUGGAGAGGCGACGGCGGCAGCAGAAGGUGGAUCAGGGUAGAAACGUUGAGAAUCUUGUUCAACAGGAGCUUCAGUCAAAAAGGGCUCGGAGCUCAGGGAUUAUGUCUCAGGUGGGCCGAGAAGAAGAACAUUAUCAGGAGAAAGCAGACCGUGAAAAUAUGUUCCUGACACCUUCCACAGACCACAGCCCUUCCUUGAAAGGAAACCAAAAUAGCUUACAACACAAGGAUUCAGGCUCUUCAGCUGCUUGUCCUUCUUUAAUGCCUUGGCUACAACUCUCCUACUCUGAUGAGCAACAGUUGUGACAGUGGCACCAAAGGUCAUUUGUGGUUGUUUUUGUUUGUUUGUUUCUUAAAUCCUACUAUCUCCUGGCCUGGACCUCAGAAGGAGCUUAUUGCCUAUCUAUAAUUUUUCACUGCCAAUUUUUGAUAUCCUCUCUCCUAGAGUUACUGUUAAAAGGUUGGUUCUUAAAAGUCCACACUCCAAUGCUCAGAAGUGUCUUGCCAGCAACAUUCCUGCUAGCAUACAGGAGUGAUUUCCUAAACCAGUUUCAUUCUAGUCUGAAUAGGGACAAACAAAUCUUGAGGAAGCCCAAGUGCGUACCUUUAUUUUUGCCCCCACCACCCUCUUUCUGUACUUCAAUUUUUGUUUGUUUUUUGUUUUUUUGUCCCUGUCAUAAAAUAUUUUGGUGCUUCAAAACUUGUACCUUCAUUGUACAUCCUUUUCUUUUCUCCCCUUGGGUCUUAUUAUAAAAGAAGACAAUGUACGUUGUAAUUACUUGUAAAGACCAAAAAGAAUAGAGAAAAACAAGAAUUUCAUGACUCUACCUGUGGUCUAUCUUUAAUUUCAUUUCUUUUGUUAAAAAUAAAACAAUGAGUAUGUUUGGAUACUAUGAAUAUGAUUUGAACUUGUUAAAGUGUACGAGUGAAGGACUGAGGUUAGGAAACAGCAGUAGCAUGGAUCAACGUAAUUUUUAAUAGUCUUUUUCAGGGGAGUGGGGAAGGGUAAAUUUUUCUUAGAAAACAUACAUGAGACUUAGGCCAAGGUUAAUGUUUUCUCAAAGGAUGUCCAGUUGACCCAGCACCAGCAGUAGAAAACUUACCUGUCCUACACUUAAUUGCUUUGUGCUUUUUAUUGAAAAUCUGUUGGCUGGACUUGCAUGUGCCAAUAUCUGAGUUAACUUGUUGCAUUGCAUCAUUGAACUAUGUGUCUGUCCCCUGUGGCCAGAUCACAAUGUCUUGGUUACAGUCGCUUUAUAGUAAGUCUUACAUCAGGGUAGACAGAUUCAUCUCAGUUUUUUGUUUUUCAGAUUGUUUUAGCAAGUUAAGUCACCAGCUCUCUUUUUCAUUAUGUAGUUGCUUUUGUGUCCUAAAUCUGAUUGCGUUGCACUGACACAAGUUAUCUCCCUCAGUAUUUUCUGUUCUUUCAACUGGUGAAUACAAUAGCUAAUCUAAAUCAUUUGUUGUAAGAAUUCAGUAGGAUUGAUGUGUAAAUAUUUCAGGUAAAACCACUAUAUUAGUAUACCACUAAUUCAAUUCAUGGUUCUUGUUUUGUGUGUCUCUGGGUGAUCUAAUAAUAUAGACUAUAUUAUACUUCUCUUAAUCCCUUUUAGUGAAUGCAUUCUGUCAUCCUGGAUUGAAUCUCUCGCUUUUCCACCUACUCUUUGCUGACUUGAGUCAGUGUAGAUCACGUUACUACCCAUAGCAUUUCUCAUGCCUAUAAUCAUACUUACCUUCCUUAUUGUCUACUCUUUUCACCUCUUUCUUUCUUUGAUACUGUCAUAGGGAACUAUAAUUAGCUUUCCCAGUAACAAAGCUAUGCUUGGUGAUGACCUAGUAGAGUAGAAAUUGCUUCACCUGUCCAAGUACAGUGUACUUUACCUUAACACACCAUAGGGGCCAGGUAAAAUAGAUAGAAAAUCCUGAGAUAAUUUAUCUAAAUCUGAGAAUUGUCUUCGAAAUUUCUUUUUUCUCCUCUUCCAUAAAUAGGAGGAAAGUCAUCAUUCUCAAGCCAUUACAGAUUCUCUGACACUUGUUAAUGGAAAAUUCUGAUGAGGCAUGAUGAGAACUUCUGCCUAUAAAAAUCUCACUAAAGUUCUGAGUCACAAAUUGUUCAAAUACUUCACAGUAAGCAGGCAAUCCAAAUUCAGGACAGUUGUACACCUUUCUUAGGUUGCCUCCCCUAAUUGGGGCUGUAUUUGACAUGAGGGGCCAGUUUUGACACUUUUUAAAACCAUACACAAGGGUGCAGCACUAAGUUUUUGCACAUAGGCAAGAAUUUAUCUUGUGAUUAGAAGUUAGUUAUAUGUUCAUUAAGAAACAUGACGAAAUCUGCAACAAAAAUUGAAUUUCACAGGCCAUUCAGUGUUCUCUGCGAUAAUUCUAAUUCAGAAAAAAAUUGAAUCUUGGUUUUAAAAAAUUGUAAUAAAACUUUACCACUGGUAA
rnacentral:sRNA from 1 species